AUUGAACGCUGGCGGCAGGCCUAACACAUGCAAGUCGAACGAGUGGCGGACGGGUGAGUAAUGUCUGGGAAACUGCCUGAUGGAGGGGGAUAACUACUGGAAACGGUAGCUAAUACCGCAUACCAUCGGAUGUGCCCAGAUUGGAUUAGCUAGUUGGGGGGGUAAAGGCUCACCUAGGCGACGAACCCUAGCUGGUCUGAGGGGAUGACCAGCCACACUGAAACUGGGACACGGUCAAGACUCCUACGGGAGGCAGCAGUGGGUAAUAUUGGACAAUGGGCGCAAGCCUGAUGCAGCCAUGCCGCGUGUAUGAAGAAGGCCGUCGGGUUGUAAAGUACUUUCAGCGGGGAGGCGUUACCCGCAGAAGGAGCACCGGCAAACUGCGUGCCAGCAGCCGCGGUAAUAC
rnacentral:rRNA from 1 species